UAUUUGAGAGGGUAAAAGUCUCUCUAGGGUGAUUUAAGUGAUAUCAAUGAGCAGUGUCAUUCAAUACUUGGAUCUCUACGCUGUUGAUUUCUGCUUGGAGGGUGUCAACUUCCCUCUUAGACUUAUGGAUCACGCGUUCAAAAUCAUGUGGCUCUACAAGUUAGAGCCUUAUCCCCUCGUUGCUUCUGGAACUCAUAUGCAUGUAACUGAAACCCAAGAAAAAAAUUUAUGUAAGUAAACUAAAAAUAAAAAUGUAGACGAAAUCCUACACCUAGUCUCUCUGAGUCCCCGUCAAUGGCGUCAAAUUUGAUGUGCUCAAAUUACCCCAAGAGCAACCUUCUCAAAUAAGAGAUCCAUUGCAGUACUUAAGGAUCAUAUCCACAGAGACUCAAUAUCUCACACAAUAGACUUGAGUUUCAGAUCAAGCUAGGUCAAAUAAUAGAAAGAUGUAAAUAACAAGAAAAUAAAUAGUAGGAGUUGUUUGAGACGGAAGAAGGGUUGCUAGACUUAAGGUUUCAUUCAGGUUACCAGAACUAUAAUUUAUAGAUGCUAAGGUUUGAUCCUAGAAAUCGAUUUCAGUAAGCAAGUAAUUCAGCUCUCGCAUGCAAUUACUAAUCAGAUGACUAAGUCUUUGUUCUAGCUCUCAC
rnacentral:lncRNA from 1 species